UAAUUGGAGAAAGCAAGCAUUUAUUUAAGGGAAUUGAAGCAAGUCCGGUGGUAGAGGCUCCUAGACGUAAAUGUGAGUUGCAGACAAUGGAAAACUCACUACUAACCCCCACAAGCUCUAUGUCUUCUGUUUUAAUUUUCCAAGCGAUCAGUACAGAUUGGUCCAACACUCAUCGAUGUUUACCCCUAGGGUCAGUCAUGGAAGUCAAGCAGUGAAGCAAUGACUUUGCUUGGCUAGUCUGACUUACUUGCCCACAUAUUUGGCCAGAAGGUAGAGUCUCUUAUCAAAAGAAGAAGGAAAAAGUGCAAGGCAGAUGAAAGCAAAAGCAACUGUAAUUCGCCUCUUGGUGUCUAUGAACUUGUGCACACUCAGGUGCACAUACACUUCUUAUGCAUACAUAUCUAUGAGGAAGGAUGGAACACAGAACAGUUUCAAGAUAAUCAAAUAUGUAUAUAAACAGGUGUCCCAAAUGCCAUAGUGCAGUUUUAAGCUUUAAUAAUUUCAGAAGGGUAAAAGCUACAAAUUAUAGAGAUCCUCAUUUGAGACUUGAAUUGUUUUAAUUUCCCUUCUGUAGAGCUUUGAGAAUUGUUAUAAGACUUUUUCAAUUUUCAUUGAUUGUUUCUGUCCCUCUGAUUGAAGAUGUCAGAGUGACAAACAAAAAUUGAAAUUUAUCUUUGAAAAUACAGCGCAAAUGACACGCAGAUUAUAUUUUUCAGAAGUUAAUAGCUUUUACACAUCCAAAGUGAUUAAGCUUGAAAGGCCAUGGAAAGGAAGUAGUCUCAUGAAUUUGUCAUCAACCAAGUAUUCCACCUCCAAAUAGAUAUCCUUCUCAAGGAAAUUCUUCGGCACAGUUAUGGAACGUGGGAGGCAGCUCUCGGACCCACCAUUUCUCAGAACCCUGAAUCCCAAGUAUUCUUGAGGUGCUCUCUUACGUCUGGGGCUCUCACCUCUUGUGCAGUCUGGCCCACAGCAGUUUCCUCUUGAAAUGAGUCUCCUUUCCUCAGUUGUGGUGCUGGAGAUGAUAAACUGGUGUUCACUGUUCUUUAGUUUAUGUGAGGAAAUCGUGCUCUUCUGCGUGGUAUGAUCAGCCUUCUUCUCCCUCCUUCUCAGGACAGCAGUAGAUAGUGUUAAAAGUGAGUCUCUGCUCCUACUAGGGGUGUGGUGGUAGUGGUGGGGGUGGAGAUAUGCAUAAACAAAGGCAGGUACUAUGCCUGGAUGGCAAAGGUGAAGCCCUCUCAGUAGAGUCUGGCCUGCUUUACUUCCUCCCUUUUCGGGGCUGGGGAAAAAAAAAAAAAUCUGUUUACUUGCACAACGUGGUUUUCGUGCUAAAAUAUUUUUCUUACUGGAAUGUAGAUGUUGUCUUCUUGAUCUUCUUCUUCUUCUUUUUCUUGUUCUUCUUGCUCUGUAGGAAAGCCAUGGCAAGAUGGAAAGCAUGGCAGCUAAAGCCCUGCUCAAUCCCGUGCUCCACAUGCUUCUGAAGGACCUCUAAGCUGGGGAAGAUCUGGCAGCAGCCCAUGCACUUGAAGUCAUUGUCCACGGCCACCGGGGGUUCAG
rnacentral:lncRNA from 1 species